GCCUCGGCGGUGUAGUGGUCAAUACGCUCGCCUGGCAAUCAGGAGGGCGUGGGUUCAAUCCCAGCCGAGGUA
rnacentral:tRNA from 1 species